AACACCUUAGCAGCAAAACACUUCGCAUAAAAUUUCAUAUUCUCCCUGCCUUUUUCACUUUGCGGCAGAACACCUUAGCGGCAAAACACCAUAGCUUUACUUUGUUGUCUUCUCCUUGAAGUCAAUAAAUUUAUUACCCUGAUUUUUCUCUUCUUAUAUGACUUUCAAUGCCGGCUCGACCAAAUCUUGGAUGGCUCUGGUUCUUAAAAGUUUGAGUUCAAUCGAUUGGGUAUGUCGUAGGGCUUGAAAUUAGAUGAUAAGAACUAGACUUAUUUACUUCGAAGGACUGCAAAAAUAAUCCAUUUUCUCAUAAGCUCGACUUUUAUAAGGGUCCGGUUUGAGAGGGGCAAAGAACCCACGUAGAGGUUACAGAGCAAAGCGACUCUACAAUCAGUCUAUUAUGCCUCUAAAACCUUUUAGGCACGACGCAUUCCCUUUGGCUAUAUAAUUGUGCGGUUUCUGGAAAUUGCAAACCCUUAGCAGCCCUCUUGCUUCAUAGGAAUUGAACCACCCUGAAUAAGCAAAGAGUUUCAAGACAGGAAAUGAAGGAAUGUAUUAUGGUAUGAAAAAUUACUUGGUUUUGAAGAAUAUAAGGUCGAUCAAGGCCUCCUAGGAAGAUCAAAAUAAUGCAAUCCAAAGUUAACUUGGAUUAUAUUUGUUCAAGUGAUUGAAAACAAUUGGGAUCUUUACCUUCAUCUUCUAGACGCAAACUAUUCAGAAGGACAAUGAAGACACUUCUGUGAUGACUUGGCUUAGGGUUCUUCAAAAAGCCAAGUUUAGGUUGAACCAUUUGAUUAUUUGAAAGUUGUUGCUUUGCCCGACUACGAUAAAGACGAUAGGAGUGUUGGACAGGUCCCACUACAUCGUAGAGCUAGUAAUUGUUAGUAGUACUGGGUGUGCCCUACACAAUAUAGAUUUGUCAUGUUAGUUAAAAUUUUUAAUAUACUUGAUGUGCCUUGCUAGAUUUUAGUGACGUACUUGCUGAGCAUUUGAGAAAACUGUUAUUAUUACACAUUUAUAUUUAGCAUUUGGUUAAACAAAUUAAUAUGUUUAAGGUUUA